AACACAGACUUACCAUUUUGUAACCUUAGAGGUCAGAGUCUUAGUAAAGGCUGUGUUUGUUCAGAGUUUGGGGAUAAACUCUUGCCUUUUCCAGCUCCCAGAUAGUGUUUACUAAUUCAACUCAUGGCCUGUGUCCCUCCAACCUCUGUCUCUGUGGUCACAUCUCCUUCCCUGACCUCGGCUCUCCCCCGUAUCUUAUGGAGACCAUUUGCCUUUGGCCACGUGAACAAUCCUGUACCAUCUUUUCACCUCGAGAUCCACAAUUUAAUCCUGUCUGGAAAGAAAGCUGUUUGCUCUCCCAGGCUUUGGACAAGCCAUUGUUCCAUUUACCACUGUCACCAUUUAGGGAAGUCACACACUUAUUGUAAUACUCUUCUCUCGUUGGUGUCUUGCUGUGUCCUCCAGAGCCCCAUUGUCAGACAUUCAAUUUAAAAAGCUCCUUACUGUCAGACUCCUACCCUGCAGGCAUGGAGGGAGGGAAGGAUAAUGAAGCCUUGGACAGUCAGCCCAGGAAUCCCAGACAACAGAACUCUUUACAGUUUCAUGAAGCAUCGAACAAGUGCUGUGGUCCACACUGUCAGAAGCUCCGCAUUAAAGUGUAAUGAUGGCUGCAGAGGCGGAGUGGCCAGGAAGAGCAGGAAGGCCGCGAGUGAAGGGAAAGGAAAACAUAUCAACUGAGACUGGGAAGAGAGAGUCAGAAGGAGCCCCACUGGACUUGCCUGGGUUGCAGUAAACACCUUGGGCUGUCUCUAUGAAGAUAAAGCUGUCAAUUAAAACUAACUGUAAAUUCU
ensembl:antisense 4930405H06Rik RIKEN cDNA 4930405H06 gene